UUUAGUCUCAGCAAGGUGGACGGCCUUCCCAGAAGCAGUUUGGGCUUGUCUGAUUGGCAUCUGCAAUGAGAAGCAAAGAGCACAAUCAAGUAACCAGGCUCACCCGUCCAAACACACGACCAGCUUUGCUGCGGAUCAGUUCCAGGCUAUCAGGGUUCUUCUUCUGAGGCAACAGGCUGCUGCCAGUGCUGGAAGAAAGGAAUUGGGAGUGUAACGGUGAGCAAGACCCCAGCCUGUGCAGAUGAAGGCUAAGACAUGCAGCACGCUGGCCCAGCCCUGCAAAAGUGAUUUGUAGCCCCCCUUGACUGGACACCUGUCUCAGUGUAGGAAAGCAG
rnacentral:lncRNA from 1 species